UGGUUAUUGUAGCUAAGAUGCAUUUACAAUUAUACAUUAUAAUGCAUUUUGUCGAAAUGAUUGCGCUUUAGCGUACUGGUAAGAUCAACUCACUAAGUGAUGAGUGUGAAGGGAAGGUGUCAGCAUUUAUAGUCUACUACCCUACUUGUAAGGCGCAGUUCUCGUUAAGCAGGCCACGUAUAGCCACCGGGUGGCGCCAAACACCUUAUUUCGUGUAAUAACCUACCUUUUACGCACAUUAUUCAGCAUGUGUUACAUCUAACCAUUUACAAUGUUUCACAACAUACUUUAUAGCUAGCUAUAUUGUCUCCUAAUCCGUCUGAAUCAUUUCCCAACCAAGAUAGGCUAGCGCCUAGGCAGGCUUAGUUUGGCUUUGUAAAAGUUUACGGUCAGGCCUAUGGUUUUUAACCCCACCCGCCACUGUAUUUUAUGUGCUGUCUGGUGAGUAACAAAAGGAGAAACGAACAGACCGUUUACAUCAGUUUCGAAAUCAGCCGGACAGCAAAACAAACACCUGUCUUCAGCGACCUUGUUAAAGCCACUUCCUCCUCACCCACAUCCUUAGCAGGCAGCUAUAACCAGUAGGCUGCAUGUAAGCUAGGAGUGCAAGGAGGAAGUGGCUGUGCAGCUGUAAGUCCUAUUGCUGCCUCCCAUCAUCCCAUGUAUUCUGCAACGUGCAUUUUAAUAUCGUUGCAUGAGAUAGUUCCUGAAAUAAAUGGGGCACCAAUAUUGAUUGCUUAUAGAAGCCAAACCGGUCUAGACUGAUGACACUAUCGCAUGAGGAUUCUGUCCUGAACUUGAACACUGGCUGGUACACAGCGAGCCACGACCCGUCCGUGCCAUUGAGCUACACAGUAUUCUUAUCAACUUGAUCAAUUAAGUUAGAUUCCGAUCGAGGGGUGUGGAUACACCAGACAAACCUUGCCUGGUGUAAUCAAACAGAAUGUCCAGACGCAAACAAGGCAGCCGACCGCAACACCUGAGUGCAAUUCAAGAUGCCCCUGAGCCCUUGGACGCUGCCAUUCCAUCGUUGGAGGAGAGGGGGUCCCUUCCCCGGGUCAGGGGUAUUGAGGAGGGUCGUGACCUGCUGACCUGUGGGCAGUGCAGCCAGGCCUUCCCUCUCGCCCACAUCCUGGCCUUCAUCCAGCACAAACAAGGGGGCUGCCGCUCCCGGAAUCACGCCCCCAACACCCACACCCCUCCCUCUCCAGCCAACCGGACACAGCAACGCGGUGAUGUCACUCAGGUAGAGGCUGGGUUCGUGGA
rnacentral:lncRNA from 13 species